rnacentral:snoRNA from 1 species
AUCAUGAUGGAAGUCUCCAGCACAGCGACUACUGACAUGUAUGAAGUGUACCUUCGAUCUGACC